rnacentral:tRNA from 1 species
GGUAAAGUGGCCGAGUAGGUGGUGGGUUGUAGCCCCAAAGACAGAGGUUUGAGCCCUCUCUUUACCA